AUGGCUACGGAAAAUGGCAUCGGACCAUUCGAAUUGGUCAAACCUCCAUGGGAAAUUCAGUCAGGAAACGAUGCAACACAUGCUCACAAUUGGCUUAUUAGGGAAGAAAAAGGAUGCAAUGCAGCCAAGAAGAAGAAGAUGGCGGAGACUAGCGCCAUGGGAGGAAAGAGAGGUCAGUACAAGGAGAUGGAGACAGUGGAGCAGAUCAUGGAUCGGUUGGAGCCGACGGACAAAGAGAGAGCAAAGUUAGUCAUUGAUGAUGAGGAAGAGAAGACGGAGGAGGAGAUUUAUGCACUAAUCGGCAAGGUACUACAUCGAAGGGUACUCCAUGUGAACACCAUCGGAGAUGCGCGACGCCCAGCGUGGGGCAAUCCGAAGGGGUUGAGUUUUAGGCCGUCGGGGGAGAACAUGUUUGUGGCUAGUUUCAUGAACAAGAGAGACAGCGAUCGGAUCUUGGAGGGGGGUCCAUGGAUGGUUGGAAAGCACUGUGUGGUGUUGGAGAGGUUUAACAUCAGAUCACGGCCCUCUGAACUCAAGUUUGAUAGGAUCAAGAUUUGGGCGCGGGUGGUUAACCUCCCAUUCAAUCUACUGUCCCCGCCAUGGCCGAAGCACAUUGCAGCCAUGGUAGGGGAUGUGGUUACCCUGGAUGCUGAUGGGAAGGGCUAUGCUUUUGGCGAUUGUCUCAGAUUCAGAGUAUGGAUUAAGGUGGAUGAGCCUUUGAUGCGUUGGGUGCAACUGGAGAAAGCCAAGAAGGAGACUGAGUUUUUUGACAUCCAAUAUGAGAACUUGCCCUAUUUUUGCUUUUCCUGUGGUAAACUGGGGCAUGCAGAGUUAGUAUGCCCUACUUCGGCAGGGAGAGAUGAAUAUGGUAGGGCCCCAUACUGUGAGGCCUUAAGGUUUUUGGAAAACAAGAACAAGAGUUGGGGCAGUGCACCAACCUAUAAAUACAAGGCCACCGGAGAUGAAGGGAGGCACAAUGCGCCAGAAGAUAUGCAAGAUGAAGUUGAACCGGGUGAUGAGGUGACUUCACCAGAGAAGACAGGAAGGGGCAAGGUGAGGAAUGCGAUCUACCAAUUUAAUGCUAGAGGCAGAGGUUCGAAUGGAAGGGGUGGGCGCACGAGACGUGGCCACAAUGGUGUGUAUCGGCGUGUUGAUAUGAAUAGUGCGACUGCGCAUAGUGGAGAAUACAAUAAGUUUCUUCUACAAGAUUCUGAGACUGUGUUAAGGAAGCGGCAGAGUGAGGGGCACGAGUUGUCGGACUCAAGAGAAGAUAGCCGUGAUUCCAAGAAAAAUAAGGCAGAGGAAGAGGCUGCAAAAGUUCUCGCGGAGGCUGAUAAUCAGCCCCGCGGACCGCAAUGA
rnacentral:rRNA from 1 species